AGCUUUGUGCAGUGGCAGUAUCGUAGCCAAUGAGGUUUAUCCGAGGCGCGAUUAUUGCUAAUUGAAAAAAUAGAGCUGUUCACCUUAUCUGUUUCUUACUGAGUAAGGUUUGGUACCUUAGAAUUUGUCCAGUUUUUCUAAG
rnacentral:snRNA from 1 species